rnacentral:rRNA from 1 species
UUGGAGGGCAAGUCUGGUGCCAGCAGCCGCGGUAAUUCCAGCUCCAAUAGCGUAUAUUAAAGUUGUUGCAGUUAAAAAGCUCGUAGUUGAACUUCGGGGUUUACCCAUUGGUCAGGCUUAAUUGUCUGUACUGGUGAGAUGAAUCUCUACCUUCUGAGGAACUUUCAUGCCAUUUAUUUGGUGUGAUGGGAAAUCAGGACUGUUACUUUGAAAAAAUUAGAGUGUUUAAAGCAGGCUAACGUCUGAAUACAUUAGCAUGGAAUAAUAAAAUAGGACGGUGGUCCUGUUUUGUUGGUUUCUGAAUCACCGUAAUGAUUAAUAGGGAUAGUUGGGGGCAUUAGUAUUCAAUUGUCAGAGGUGAAAUUCUUGGAUUUAUUGAAGACUAACUUCUGCGAAAGCAUUUGCCAAGGAUGUUUUCAUUAAUCGAGAACGAAAGUUAGGGGAUCGAAGACGAUCAGAUACCGUCGUAGUCUUAACCAUAAACAAUGCCGACUAGGGAUCGGACGAUGUUAAAUUUUAUUGACUCGUUCGGCGCCUUACGGGAAAC